rnacentral:rRNA from 1 species
AUUGAACGCUGGCGGCAGGCCUAACACAUGCAAGUCGAACGAGUGGCGUACGGGUUAGUAAUGUCUGGGAAUCGGCCUGAUGGAGGGGGAUCACUACUGGAAACGGUUGCUAAUACCGCAUUCCAUCGGAUGUGCCCAGAUGGGAUUAUCUAGUAGGUGGGGUAAAGGCUCACAUAGGCGACGAUCCGUAGCUGGUCUGAGAGGAGUACCAGUCACACUGGAACUGAGACACGGUCCAGACUCCUACGGGAGGCAGCAGUGGGGAAUAUUGGACAAUGGGCGCAAGCCUGAUGCAGCCAUGCCGCGUGUGUGAAGAAGGUCUUCGGGUUGUAAAGUACUUUAAGCUGGGAGGCGUUACCCGCAGAAGAAGCACCGGCUAACUCCGUGCCAGCAGCCGCGGUAAUUC